UCUUUACAGCCUGCACUGCCCACAGCCUGCUUUGGGCAUAAUCUAUAGGGCAGCCCCUGUAAGAAAUGUUAGUUUUCUUGCAGUGAUGGGGGCAGGUGGACCACAGACACCUGUGAAAGAGCUCUGUGGGGGUUGCUGUUUCUUUCAAUCUCAGCAUUGGCCAAGCUCAGAAAGUCUUCGAGGAGCUCCAUGUGUUUGACCUUGAAUGAUGGAUUCCUCUGCAUCAGAAAGAUGACACUUGAAAGGUGUAAUGAAUCCCUAGGUCACUCAGCCAAUAGCAGAAGUAGCCCAGGAGACUGUCCUCGUCUCUCAUCCUCCAAAGUUCACCUAAACUUUCUGCUGUAGAGUUUCCAGGCUGGGAAAAUAACAAGAAGAAGAAGAAGAAACAAUUGGAGCAAGGAAUUUGCAAACUUAUGGGACAGCCGGGGAGAGCUGGCCUAGUUGUACUAGUGGCUAUCUGUGUGCUGGGAGAGCAACAGAAAAUAAGGCUGCAGAGCAAUGGGCCAAGCUCAGCCAUGCUGCGGGGUGAGUAAAAGCCAAGUAGGCAGCUUUUCUCUCUAUACUGCAUGCUAUUUCACACAGGUAUGUGAGGUUAUUAAAUAAGAAGAUAAUGGACACUACUAAAGAAAAAAUUUCAAGUUGCAAUAAGUAAACCAUAUUAUCAGAAACCAGACUAGAAGCCUCUGAAGUCAUAUUUAUAUCUCCACCCUCAAUUUUGCUCCUAAACUUUAUAACUCACUAAAGUUGGCAUCACCAUAAAUUUUCAGUUGAUUUUUCAAAUAUAUAAUAACCAAAGGGAUAUCAGUUUCUGGCUAACGACCCUGUCUUGUCAUUCUCAGUUAAUAUUCCCACCAUUCACCAGGUUCUAAUAUCCAAAGUAGGAGUUAUACUUGAUUCCUCCUUUUUUAUCCAUCUUUUAUCCUUAUUAUCCAGGCCAGAGAGAGAGAGAGAGAGAGAGAGAGAGAGAGAGGAGAUCCAAGUCUAGCUCCAAAUAGUUUAGAAUCUCAAGAUUUCUCUCUAUCCUGCUACCAUACUAAUGGAAAAUGGUCAAUCAGAUAACCAUACAAGGGUCUGCAGUGAUGUUUGUUCUUUAUUAUAUGUAGCAUGUGGACUCUUUUGUACAUUAAAGCAUGUGCUAUGAAAAUCUUGCUUCCUUCUCUAGAAGCUCAUCUUAUAAGACCCAUAUUUUCAUUGCUUUCUUCUUGGAAAAUGUCAGGAAACCAAAUACAGCUGCCCAGGACCAUGAGUCCAAAGCCAGUUAACAGCAGAAGUGGGAGGAUCAGAGUGCCUGUAGGGAGGGGCAACACCCAGCCCCUGCCCCUGGACAUUGUCAGGCCUCAGGGGCUCAGAGCAGAAGAGCCUGGGGCACAGCCUGUCAGCCAGCUGGGGGACGGGAUUCUGGCUGUUUCUGCCUGUGUCUCCAAUUUCCAUGGUUAUCCUCUUGGUUGAUCGAAACUAACAACCAAAGCAGUCACUCUGUGCUUAAAUCGGCCUCUCCGCUUGCACAUAGGAUGCUCUCUGAAUUAAUAUUACUAAUUAGUAUCCAUUCUUCAUAGAGAAGAUUGAGUCAGCUCGCUAAAUCUAGUUUUGGCUCUCUAUGGUUAAACAAGCCAAUGGGAUCCCAGCACACCUCAACUCAGGAAAACCUCCAGAAAUAAAAUCAAGUAGGGCCUAUAAAACUACCCUGUGUCCGUGACUUCUGGCCACUGUGCCCUUGGCUUUCUGCAGGCCACUCACUCUGGCCCUCUUUACCUCCCUCGGCCACAAAGCUCCUGUUCCUGCUGCAGGUUCUGGUGCUCACCCCUUCCCCGGAGUGACUGCUCUCCAUGGAUCCGUGCAUGCUCAGCACCUCUGUGUCCGCCACCUCUUAGCUCAGAUAGUAACUCCACAAACAAGCCCUUCUCAGUCAUAGGUACGAUCCCACCACGGAAAAUCAUCCAGGGUCCCACGGUUGGUUUUUUGUUACUCUUUCCAGCCACCGUGGUCUCUUAUUCAUGGACAGUGCUGUCCCUUAACCGCUCUGUCCUGUCAGCUUCCUGACAUGUACUUUGUUCAUUUCUGAAUUUCCAGUGACGAGAACAACACACGGUUCCUCAGUAGGGACCCCUGUGUCCAUGAGGAAUGAUUCUGAAAGAAGCUUUUGAAAUGUAAAGAAAAAUCUUCAAAUUUUACAACAAUUUGACCAAAAAUCCAGUGCCUGUUAUCUAUAAGGGUAGUAAACAAUAGAAUAAAAGAUGCCCCAUGGUGUGUAACACAGAGAGCUGGCUUAAUGAUGCCAUCAUUUUUAAAUGCUUCUUUUGCUGCCCAAGACUCUCCAACAUGCGCACAUAGUUAGGGACUUUAUAUGAGCAUAUAACCUGUCAGAAUCCAUGUCAUCUAUAAAAAUCAGUCAUAGGGAAAUUUAGAUGAGAAAAAAGAACUUCUAAAAAGUGUGCAAUGUGAAGAAUUUCACACUGUUAACAAGAGGAAUCAGAUGCUGCUUUCCAGAGGAGAAGUUUAGAAAUCGAGUUCUAACUGAAGAUGCCGGAUCCCCAGAGAAACUCACAAUAAGUGACAUAAGGGCAGGUCAUACAACUGCAGGCAAAGAAUGCUCACUAUUCACACAAAUGCAGUCUUCAGGCUGAAUAGACACACUUCUGCACAUGUGGUCAGUCACCUGUCAGAUCUCAGGGAAAUUCUUCCCUGGCGAGGAAGAGGCACAGAGCUCACUGAUUCUCCUGCUAACCUAGGGUGCCCCUGAAUUUCUCCCACUCCUCCUCUCUCCAGUGCAGCACGCUCUGUUUGCAGGAGCAUGGCUUCCCUUUAAGCAUUUGUUUCUGAACUCAAAACUCAAAAACACAUUUGUUUUGCCCACUGAUUCUUUUGCCUUUGGGCAACAGAACACACUAAAAGCAUACAGAUGCAAUGCAGCCUGAUAGGAUAAAGAUACAAUCAUUAGCUCAUUUAUGUAAACAAUUCAUUGGAUAAACUUGAAAUAUAUGUGGGCUGCAGACGGUGUGACAGUGCUGCUGAGAAGCCCCGUGUACCUUUCCACCCCGGGCUCUUUACAUAAUCGAAUACAGAGCAAAGGAAUUCAAAUUAGCAGCCGAUCAAUUAAACAGGACUAGUCUGUUACCUCCUAAGACAGACCAAUGAACACCCCCUAACUGGUAAGUAUCAGUAGUGGAAAUCAAGAAAGAAAAGAAUUUUCAGAGUAUAUCAUUACAAAACAGUGCAAGUCCAGAUUUAUGUUGUUUCAUCUGUCCUUUAUUUAUGAAUCAAAUUCUAAACUGAUGAAGGAAUUACUUCUCAAGGGUGGCACGGAAGUAAAUCUGAGCUUCUCCAGAUCUAUCUACCCCAAGCAGGCAAAAUGUAACGAGCAGAGUACAGUAGUAUUCUAAGCAGAUCCAUCCAGCAUAUGCAGCUUACUGACAACAAAUCGAUAUGUUUUGGGAUUCAACUCAGACAAAGCUUAAUAGCAAAUGAAGGAGAGUAUUUCUCUGAACAAUUCUAUGCAGCAGGGAAAAGAUCUCUAUCAAGCUUUUCUUCCUACAGAUCAUUCAUCUCUGCCUCUCAAAAACGCUGACAAAAACGCAGAUAGCUUCUGGUAUAAUCUAUAUAGGCUCCAGAUAGCUGAAAUCUAUGUGUGGUACCAUCCUAAAUUGGUGUUGCGCUUCUUGUAGAAAGCUUUACAUAGAGCUGCGGAAGCUAAUAUGGUUUCUAAAGAUCCGUAUAUCAGUUUUUACAUUUAUAUUUCUUAUUUCAAAAAAAUAGCAGCCCAAAAUUCAUGCACAGAAUUACAUUAAAUGCAGAACUUUGCUACUUUCUGGUAUACUCACAUAAAGUGAUUUUAUUCUAAAAAUAUACAUUUGUACUUAAGUCACAUGUUUUUCAUAGUGUCUGAAAAUGUUUUAUUGUAACUAAUAUUCUGUAUUCUGUUUCUUUUUCUGCCAAUGAAUGUGAGCAGAAACAGGGAAAAAUCUCAUUGCUAAGAACGAGGGAAGGGGUAUCUGAUAACAUUUGUGAAAUUUUAAGUCGUAUAUUAUAUAAAACAAGAUGUUAUAAAAUACUUUAAUAAUAGCAACACGUCUAAAGACUCACUUCUUUUUGUCAGGCUUAGCCUAAACCAACAGGACAAAGCAAACAGGCUGCUUCUCAGUAAAUUGGGCAAAUGGACUCAAAACAAAGUGUGCAACCCCCCACCCCGGUACCAAGGAGUCCAGUGAUUGUCUACACACCUGAGAGACCGUCCCUGGGCAUCCAAGUCAUAAAUAUUCCAGCCCAGAUUCCUUUAGCCCUUUCCAUACCAUACAAGCCUAACUCCUCUCUCAGUUAGUUGCUGUCUCUCCCCUGGUGUUAGCCCAUUCUCUCAGGAUGAAAUGUCUCCCACUAGCUGCUACUAUGCCUCUCCCAAUAUCAGCCCAUCCACACAGCACUGUGAUAAACUCAGCUUUU